CAUGCCGCGUGUAUGAAGAAGGCCUUCGGGUUGUAAAGUACUUUCAGCGGGGAGGAAGGGAGUAAAGUUAAUACCUUUGCUCAUUGACGUUACCCGCAGAAGAAGCACCGGCUAACUCCGUGCCAGCACCUUCGGUGACUGAGCGGGCUGGCAAGGCGCAUA
rnacentral:rRNA from 1 species